GCAUCAUCCAAUUUGUUCUCUCUCCCUCAUUAUAAUGAGUCUUGCAUUCUAUUGUAACACCAGGGACGGCUUCACAAGCUUCUUUUGUCCUGUUGUAUGCUUUCUCCUAUUAUAUAGCUAGCUUAUCUCUAACAGCUUCUCUCGCCCCUUCACUUUUCUAGUUCUUGAGAGAAGCUAUACUUAAGUAUGAUCAAGUUGAGGUCAAAGAUGUUCUGCAGAGCGAGUUUUAAGCUUGGUGGCAAUGGUGCUAAUGGCAAUAGUAAUAAAGGAAGUGACAAAGCAGGGUCUUGCGGAGGCCUUAGUGAAAUCAAAUGGGAGCUUAGG
rnacentral:misc_RNA from 1 species